CUAUGCGCCUUGCCAGCCCGCUCAGGUGUGCCAGCCGCCGCGGUAAUACGUAGGGGGCGAGCGUUGUCCGGAAUCACUGGGCGUAAAGGGCGCGUAGGCGGUUUAAUAAGUCAGUGGUGAAAACUGAGGGCUCAACCCUCAGCCUGCCACUGAUACUGUUAGACUUGAGUAUGGAAGAGGAGAAUGGAAUUCCUAGUGUAGCGGUGAAAUGCGUAGAUAUUAGGAGGAACACCAGUGGCGAAGGCGAUUCUCUGGGCCAAGACUGACGCUGAGGCGCGAAAGCGUGGGGAGCAAACAGG
rnacentral:rRNA from 1 species